AAAGGCUAAACCUUUUGUAUCCAGUUAAGUUGAAUGAGACCCUCAUGAGAAACCUUGAGAAACAUAAUUUCUGCUUUUUUGCCCAAUUGCAGAAUAGACACAAAUGUUGUAUAAGCUCACAAAUUUCUCUGCAGAAAACAGCAUUUGGAACACUGGAGCUUGGUUUCCAUAGCUAAUGGAAAUAUAGCUAAUCCAUGUUUUUUCUUGCUUCUUGAGGGACACAAGGCAUUUGUCUUUCUGUAGAAGAAAUGAGGAGCACUGCACAACACCCUGGGGCCUCCCAGUAGGAUUCUUGGGCAGAAACCACUAGAAGCUCAUGGAGGAGAAAACAGGUGCCAGAGAGAAAGCUGUAGCAAAUAUGCCACUGCCAGGCACUGAGGAAGAGGAGAGAACCCAGCAACGCAAAUGUGAAAAGAAAAACACUGAAUUUACAGAAACGACUCAAAAAGAAAUGGCUGGAAGGUUCCCAGAGCUGAACCCAUUACUGCCAACUGAUUGUAUUCACCUGAACAG
rnacentral:lncRNA from 1 species